UGGGGGCUUCGGCAGCCUUACACAUGCAAGUCGAGGGGUAACAGGGAUUGCUUGCAAUCCGCUGACGACCGGCGCACGGGUGCGUAACGCGUAUGCAACCUACCUUCUACAGGGGGAUAGUCAAUAGAAAUGUUGAAUAAUACCCCAUACGAUCUUUGAAUAGCAUUAUUUAGAGAAGAAAGUUCCGGCGGUAGAAGAUGGGCAUGCGUCCUAUUAGUUAGUUGGAGAGGUAACGGCUCCCCAAGACUUCGAUAGGUAGGGGUCCUGAGAGGGAGACCCCCCACACUGGUACUGAGACACGGACCAGACUCCUACGGGAGGCAGCAGUGAGGAAUAUUGGACAAUGGAGGCAACUCUGAUCCAGCCAUGCCGCGUGCAGGAAGACUGCCCUAUGGGUUGUAAACUGCUUUUAUACAGGAAGAAAUGUACCUACGUGUAGGUAUUUGACGGUACUGUACGAAUAAGGAUCGGCUAACUCCGUGCCAGCAGCCGCGGUAAUACGGAGGAUCCAAGCGUUAUCCGGAAUCAUUGGGUUUAAAGGGUCCGUAGGCGGUCUUUUAAGUCAGAGGUGAAAUCCUACAGCUCAACUGUAGAAUUGCCUUUGAUACUGAAAGACUUGAGUUAUUGUGAAGUAGUUAGAAUGUGUGGUGUAGCGGUGAAAUGCAUAGAGAUCACACAGAAUACCGAUUGCGAAGGCAGAUUACUAACAAUAUACUGACGCUGAGGGACGAAAGCGUGGUAGCGAACAGGAUUAGAUACCCUGGUAGUCCACGCCGUAAACGAUGGAUACUAGCUGUUCGACCAACAUUGGUUGGUUGAGUGGCUAAGCGAAAGUGAUAAGUAUCCCACCUGGGGAGUACGCUCGCAGAGUGAAACUCAAAGGAAUUGACGGGGGCCCGCACAAGCGGUGGAGCAUGUGGUUUAAUUCGAUGAUACGCGAGGAACCUUACCAGGCUUAAAUGUAAGUUGCAUAGAUCAGAGAUGGUCUUUUCUUCGGACUACUUACAAGGUGCUGCAUGGUUGUCGUCAGCUCGUGCCGUGGAGGGUGUCAAGGUUAAGUUCUUAUACCGAGCGCAAACCCCUGGUCGGUUAG
rnacentral:rRNA from 1 species